rnacentral:lncRNA from 1 species
UAAGGUUAAGGAAGGUGACUAAGAAAGCACUUGUUCUUUGUAUUUACUAAAUGCUACACUACUCGCGAUAAGAGAGAUAUUCCAAUUCAGAACGGAAAGUCUCGUAGGUGAAAGGCAGAAUCAAAUCGAAAGGAAGCUACCCGCUCACUAUAGCCUGUUAGGACUCUAGCUUGGAGAGUCCUAAUUGAGAGGGACAUUCAUGUAAAACUGUUAGGACUCUAGCUAUGAGAGUCCUAAUUGAGAGGGACAUUCUGUUAGGACUCUAGCUAGGAGAGUCCUAAUUGAGAGGGGCAUUCAUGUAUGAGGUGUUUUCUUAGAGAAGAAUUAGGAGUUGUAAGGGAAUAGGAGUCUUGACUAGGAGUCCUACUAGGAGUUGGUUAGAAGUAAGAGUCUUAAGUAGGAGUCCUAUUAGGAGUUAGGGUUUAGAAGCCCUAUAAAUAGCCAUGUAUUCCUUCUCUUUUCAAAGGCAAUAGAUGAAUUUUUUCUGCAGCCUUUGAGCAGCAACUUGGAGGGAGGAACCCCUAUAGAGUUCCAAGGAGGCCGAUCCCCUAAAGAGAUCAACCCCAAGUUUAGAAUAUGCAAGGGUUCUAACAUAGCCCUCUGCUCCAACUUAAAUAAGUGUUAUCGGUGCUUGUCUAGGUUCGGGUGCUUGUGUGUUGCUUUGUAAUCUACUUUUUAGUGUCUUCCCGGAACUACGAUAGAAGAAAACGAGUAGUAUCACCCAUAUGUGUUAAGCAAUGAUCAAAUGUAGCAAAUAGGGAAGUAGUCGCUUGGCCGUCUUUCGCCUGCAGCCUUUGCUCUAAUCGCUCCCGCUGGUGGUAAAGUCCAUCUUCUAUGCUUAGCUUUGUUAUCAGAUCGAAGCAGGAGUAAUAAAUUAUGUAUGAAUGCCUGGACCGUAGUACCAUGUAAGAUCAACCUCAAUAUCCGGGUCUUAAUAAGUUCCAUAUAAGGUUAUUAAUAAGGUGGACACCGUCGGCAGGAAACAGCUGUAUUGCAUAAGGUGGGUUUAGAUAAUCUUCGGUGCACUCCCGGUCAAUAAAGUGGACCAGCAAUUCUGUAUUCUUUUGCUAGUGGAGUAGGGCCAAUCGUAUGAGGAUACAGCUAAGCUCAAAAGUCGGGGUCCUAUGCUAUGCUAUUUAUUAUGUGUAGAUCUGACUUGCAAAAGUAUCUCACGAUGCGUUAUAGGAGUGGCCAGGUGGUAUAAGAAUCCUUGCAAUCAUUAUACCUUACGUGCAGCAUAACAUAAGUAGAGGUCACAAGAUGAUCUAAAGUCCAUCUAAACCGGAAGCGUAGACAAUGGAGUUCAAUCGAUGGAGCAUAUUCCUCGAGCUACGGCCUUACUUGGUGGGUGGAAGGCAAGGGCUUUAUACUACUAAAUUCAUGAGUGGAACAAAUCUAGCUCUAAUAGUCCGAAU